rnacentral:lncRNA from 1 species
GCUGUUUCUGUAGAAUCUUGGGAGAGGAUUGUAUUUCACAGAUCAAUUUCCUUGGGGAAACUUACAGGCAACAGACUGUGCUUCCAUAACUGUGGCUUUGCAAAAACCACACAUUUGACCUUAUUUUCCAUUUGAAUUACAUGAAAACCUUCUGAUCUUGAAUUGGUAAGACUCAUGUUUAUCCAAAAUGAAGUAGCAGCAUCUUCCCUUAACUAACUUGGCCAAAUCAAGCCUAUAUUAAUUUUAAGUGAUCUAGAACUAGUACAUAUCAUGGUGUAGGAGAAAAAAUAAUAAGGCCACGUCUUUCCAUUCAUCUAAUAUUUAAAUUUGGGUUUUCAGUUAUCAUGAUUCCUUGUUGUAAAACAAGGGGUAUAUACUUGUGUCUAAAAUUGACUCCAGAGAUGGCUUUGAGAUGGUUGAGAACUAAACUUCGCUUUCUCUUAAUAAUAACUAAUAUGAGUCAAAGCCUUUUCUGUCUAAGUGAAGUAACUUUAAAAAUAUUUAGUGAACAAAGAUUUAGUCAUAAGAUCCACAUGUAUAAAGUGUCGUAAAUCACUUCAGUCCACCAUUUGCCUUUUGUUUCCAACCCUUUAAUAGAAUCAGCAUGGAAAAAGCAUUAACUCUGCAUCCUAUCUUGGAAAUGUGGAGAAUUGCCCUCUAUUUUGUUUUGUUUUUUACCAGCAGGUGGCAUGAGUUAUUGCUAUGCUGGUGACAGUGUAAAAACCAAUGUGUCUUGUUAC